rnacentral:rRNA from 1 species
GAUGAACGCUGGCGGCGUGCCUAAUACAUGCAAGUCGAGCGAACAGACGAGGAGCUUGCUCCUCUGACGUUAGCGGCGGACGGGUGAGUAACACGUGGAUAACCUACCUAUAAGACUGGGAUAACUGCGGGAAACCGGAGCUAAUACCGGAUAAUAUAUUGAACCUCAUUGUUCAAUAGUGAAAGACGGUUUUGCUGUCACUUAUAGAUGGAUCCGCGCCGCAUUAGCUAGUUGGUAAGGUAACGGCUUACCAAGGCAACGAUGCGUAGCAGACCUGAGAGGGUGAUCGGCCACACUGGAACUGAGACACGGUCCAGACUCCUACGGGAGGCAGAAGUAGGGAAUCUUCCGCAAUGGGCGAAAGCCUGACGGAGCAACGCCGCGUGGGUGAUGAAGGUCUUCGGAUCGUAAAACUCUGUUAUUAGGGAGGAACAAAUGUGUAAGUAACUAUGCACGUCUUGACGGUACCUAAUCAGAAAGCCACGGCUAACUACGUG